UCAAGGUCAUUCCCCCUGGAGGGUAAACCCUAUACAUUCGCAGAGCCAGUUUCAUUGAGAAUAUCUUACAAAGGAUACUAUAGGUAAAUUGGGCUACUUUAGAAGUCAGGCAGUGGAAAAGGCUAAGCUAUAAACACAGCUUUUUCCCACUAUUAAUCAGGCUGAGCAGAAAGUUUACUACUCACAGAGGGAGAGGACUUUGGGGUAUCCAGGACUUCAGGACACCCAUGCAGGAGCUGAAGCAGCUGGUUCAGAAGCAACAGGUGGAGCUGAAGCGUCUAAAACUGAAGCUGAUUCAAGAUUGAGCUCUCUGUCUGCUGCUGUUGUGGAAACUUUCCCUGCUACUGUCAAUGGCACUGUGGAAGGAGGUGCUUCAUCUGAAAGAGCUGACAUGCCCCCAGGAUUUCUUUU